AUACUUACCUGGUGCCGAGAUAACCACGAUCAGCGAGGUGGUGUCUCCAGGGUGAGGCACGGGCAUUGCACUGCGCUCGUGUUGACCCCUGCCACUACCCCAAACUGGGGCAGAUGGGGCAUGUAAUUUUUGGUAGUGGGGGACUGCGUUCGCGCUAUCCCCCU
rnacentral:snRNA from 1 species